GAGUUUGAUCUUGGCUCAGGAUGAACGCUAGCGGCAGGCUUAACACAUGCAAGUCGAGGGGUAGAGUUAGCUUGCUAACUUGAGACCGGCGCACGGGUGCGUAACGCGUAUGCAAUCUACCUUGUACAGGGGGAUAGCCCAGAGAAAUUUGGAUUAAUACCCCAUAGUGUUAUGAUGUGGCAUCACAUUAUAACUAAAGUUCCAACGGUACAAGAUGAGCAUGCGUCCCAUUAGCUAGUUGGUGUGGUAACGGCAUACCAAGGCAACGAUGGGUAGGGGUCCUGAGAGGGAGAUCCCCCACACUGGUACUGAGACACGGACCAGACUCCUACGGGAGGCAGCAGUGAGGAAUAUUGGUCAAUGGGCGCAAGCCUGAACCAGCCAUGCCGCGUGCAGGAUGACGGUCCUAUGGAUUGUAAACUGCUUUUGUACAGGAAGAAACACUCCCUCGUGAGGGAGCUUGACGGUACCGUAAGAAUAAGGAUCGGCUAACUCCGUGCCAGCCGCC
rnacentral:rRNA from 1 species